CAUUGCUGUUUUUAUUUUUUAAAAUCUGAAAAUGACAAAACUGAUAUUGAAUCCCCUACCAAUCACACCCUAAAUUUCUCCAUGCCUCCGAUCUCCAGCCUCUCACUGCACCUCUCGCACGAUCGACUAUCGCCUUUAGCCUUUCCGAAUAAAUGGCCUUUGAAUCGAGCUCAUCCUCGUCUCCUCUGGUGGGUCAAUGGAAGUUGAGCGCCACCUCUGCUUGCUCGGGACGCCGCCUCCUUCGGUCCCAUCGCCCCCGCUGGCCGGGGUGAAGAAGUUGAGCACGGACUAUGCUGGGGAACAACAAGGGAGGGUUUUCGUUCACUGUUGCCAAGGGGUCUCCCGGUCCACAUCUUUGGUAAUUGCUUAUCUUAUUGGGAGAGAAGGCCAGAGUUUUGAUGAUGCUUUUCAGUAUGUGAAAGCAGCGAGAGGAGAGAAGGCUAGAGUUUUUCUUGUCUGAGAUUUUUUGUCACAGACUUCAAAGAAACUAUUUUGCAACAGUUUGCAAGAGGUAUGCUUCUAACUUUUAUUUUAAUACUAUGCAAAUGUUAGAGGAGUUUGAAUAUCUUAAAUAUUCAUCCAUAGUGAAGUAGAUUCUGAGAUUGUUAUUGUGUGCUGCGGUGAUAACGGAAGGUUGAGAACUUGUGUGUUUUAGUGAAGUAGGAUCUGAGAAAUUUGUGUGCUGCGGAGAUAAGAAAGAAAACUUGUGUGUUGUUUGAAUUGAUGUAGACUUGUCUAUGAUCAUCCUAUAAUUGAAUUGUGUUUGUUUGAUUGGUUUGAUUAUAACAUAUACUUGUAUGAAUGUACAUAUUACGUGUUGGCAUACACAUAUAGCAUAACCUUUUGUAUUUCUUGUUUUGUAUAUGUUAGUUUUCUUCUUGUCCCUUGUCUAAUGUUCUUUAGUGAGGUGAUUUAUAACAUUGAGCAUCACUUUUGAUUCUUGUGAUCACAUGUAGGUUCAAUAGUAUGAAGUGCUAUACAAAAGUUUGAUGUUAUUAGUAUAUUGGUUGAUAAUUUAUGAUUUCUUUUUUUGCACCAGAACUACUAUUUCAAUUUGUGUUUAUUUUAAUUGAAGCAUAGCUUUAUGUUUCAUUGUAGUCUAAUAGUUUGAUCAUUUUCUUACUUAAAUAAUAUCCGAGUUAUUUUUUUUCUUCCAAACUGUAAUUGUUUUCACCAUGUUCGAUGGCCUUAGCUGAAACAAUGUAUUUCUUAAACAAUUGAAAGGCCUUAGCUGAAACAAUGUAUUUCUUAAACAAUUGAAAGUUUUCUAAAAAGAUCAAUUGGUGAGUUUUGGGUUCAAUCAAUUGAGACAUAGGAUAUAUAUUUAUAUAUUUACUCGAUGAUUUCCUUUUCUGCACUAGAACUACUAUCUCAAUUUGUGUUUAUUUUAAUUGAAGCAUAGCUUUAUGUUUCUUUGUAUUAUAAUAGUUUGAUCAUUUUCUUAUUUAAAUAAUAUCUAAGUUAUUUGUUUUCAUCCAAAUUGUGAUUGGUUUUACCAUGUUCGAUGGCUUUAGCUGAAACAAUGUAUUCUUUAAAUAAUUGAAAGUUUUCUAAAAAAAUCAAUUGGUGAGUUUUGGGUUCAAUCAAUUGAGACAUAGGAUAUAUAUUUAUAUAUUUACUCGAUGAUUUUCUUUUCUGCACCAGAACUACUAUCUCAAUUUGUGUUUAUUUUAAUUGAAGCAUAGCUUUGUGUUUCAUUGUAGUCUAAUAGUUUGAUCAUUUUCUUACUUAAAUAAUAUCUAUUUUUUUCUUCCAAACUGUGAUUGUUUUUACCAUGUUCGAUGGCCUUAGUUGAAAUAAUGUAUUCUUUAAACAAUUGAAAAUUUUCUAAAAUGGAUUGAUUAUCACUUUGUUAAAAAUGUUGCGCUUGUAUAAAAUUCAUAAUUAUAUGGCUAUUUAUUAAAAGAAAUAUAUAUGCUUGACCAAAAGAAAUUAUGAUUGAUGUAUAUUAAUGUCUUUAUAUGUGUAUAUAUGUAUAUUAAUUUCUCGAUGUUUAUUGUAUAUUUGCUAAUGUGCUAUGAAUGAUUGGUAAUUUGGUUUAUUAAUGUCUGUGAUUUCAUAAACAAACUAGCUUGAGCAUUUUUAAAUUGAAACUGACAGGUAUGCAUUUCCAUUGGUCAUUAUUAUAGAGUUAGUAAUUCUACAGCUCAUUCCUUAGCAAAACUUGCAUUAUCUCUUGAUUCCCCUAGAGUUUGGUGGCUUGGUUUGCCUUCAUGUCUGUGGCCUUAAAACUCUUUAUGUUUGAUGUUUUUGCUUCAUCUUGGCUGUUUGCCCAAUAAAAUUCUAUGAAUUUCACUCAAAAAAACAAAAAAAAAAAAGAAUUAAGACUAACUACUUAAGCCAUGAGGCUAUCUAAUUUGAUAAGAAAAAUACAAUUUUUAUAUAAAUUAUUUUUGUGACUGAAAACCACAAUCAUCCUUUUUAUUUAUUCUGCAACCUCAAGUUCUCUAUUUAUUUUAGUUUUGGUUUAACUUUAAUGGUGUUUAUUAUGUAUUGUAGGCUAAAACUCUACUUGGAUAUUUAAGAGAACCAAGACAAUUAUAUAAGAGAACCAAGGCAACACGAAAUUCUUCUUCAAGUUGUUGGGUAUUAUUUUCUUUCUUGCUUGUAAGAAUUAUGUACAGUGAGGAUUUGAUGUAUUAUUUACAUCGAGAAUAAUGAGUUUUUUUUGAGAAUUAUAAUGAAUUUUCAUUGAGACUUAUUUAGUCUCAUGGGGAUUAGAUGUAUUAUUUACAUUUCAAUUGUAUGAAUAAAUGUUGUAUGUA